rnacentral:rRNA from 1 species
AGCGAACGCUGGCGGCAGGCCUAACACAUGCAAGUCGAAUGGAUCCCUCGGGAUUAGUGGCGGACGGGUGAGUAACACGUGGGAACGUGCCCUUUGGUUCGGAACAACUCAGCGAAACUUGAGCUAAUACCGGAUGUGCCCUUCGGGGCAAAGAUCUAUCGCCAUUGGAGCGGCCCGCGUCUGAUUAGCUAGGUCGUUAGGUAAAGGCUCACCAAGGCGACGAUCAGUUGGGGGUCUGAGAGGAUGAUCAGCCACAUUGGGACUGAGACACGACCCAAACUCCUACGGGAGGCAGCAGUGGGGAAUCUUGCGCAAUAGGCGAAAGCCUGACGCAGCCAUGCCGCGUGAAUGAUGAAGGUCUUAGGAUUGUAAAAUUCUUUCACCGGGGACGAUAAUGACGGUACCCGGAGAAGAAGCCCCGGCUAACUUCGUGCCAGCCGCCGCCGUAA